AGCUUUCUUCAAACGUCGUCGUCGCCCAGACAACUCCUCCUCAACACAAUUCAAACGAGGCAAUCUGCUUUGACCUGCAAUGAAUGGGAUAGGGUGGGCCAUGGAGGUUACACCGGACCCUUCCUUCAAAUCUGGGGAAAAGACGGAUACGUUUGCCUGCUGCAUUUGGAGGAGACUUCCUCUUUUGGACAGCUUUCGUUGCAUCGCGGUGAUGUAAUGCGGCCUUCGAAGGAUGCAGCCCCUGAAUUUGGACACAGCUAUAGAGGAGGACCGUCAUCGGUGCCAUCUUUUUUUUGCCAUCAGCCCAGCUCUGCUCGAAAGCUUCGGAGGACUCUGUCAAGGAAAGAGGUUCGAACUUUGACUCACCGGGUCAUGAGCUGACCUUCAUCCUAAAGGCCCACGUUUCAGCCUGACAUUGCCUGAUCCCAAUCACCGCACGGACGUGGGUGCGGUGUCAGCUUUCACGCUCAUGAAACUCCUGCUAAUUCUAACGGUUGGGUGCACUGCGGGGGAGGAGGUGACAUUUCAAAGAGAGAUGGAAAACAACUGAACCAACCAAAUGGGUGUCAAAUGGAUCAGUUGACCUCUCUGACCCCUUUAACAGAUAAAUAAAUGACGCCCAUUCCUAACAAGUCAAACAUCAAAGUUCAAGGUUAAAAACAGAGACAAGUGGAUUAUCCUGACCCAAAAUGUUCUCCAUGUGUUCUUCUUUCACUGAGCAGGUUUUCUUCCUACAGAAACAUGCUUGGACUUUGUUCUGAACUUCCUCUAACUUCUGUUAUGUCUGCGCCUUAAAAAAAGUGUUGAAGAUUUCUUAAAGAUUCUUAAAGAUUAAUGUUUUUUUCUCUUUUGUCAUACUUUUAUGUUUUGGAUCAUCAAACACAUAUAAACAGAUAAAUACAACAAGCAGUUUUAAAUGAUUUUAUUUAUUAAAGGAAUAAAGCUUUCCAAACCACCCAUA